CCUGAUGCAUUGUGGGUCAGCGAGAGCACGGUGUUUUGUAACCAUGGAAACAAACUGAGUUUGAGAAGCCUGAGCAUCCAGUUUACCAUUCAAAGAUGGUAAAGGGAAAAAAGCUCUAAAAUCACUCAGUGCCUAGGAAUUACUUCUAAAAUAGCUAGACCUUGACGAAACCAGAAGGACACCCCACUGGUGGAUCCCUAGGGAAGAGUGUGCCGUCCUCAGCACCUGCCCCUUUGCGGUCUCCCUACCAUUGGAGAAGACAUCCCCUAACCUGGGCGUCUCAAGCCAGUCGCCACAUGGUCAAAAUGGUCUCACAAGAAAUGGGAAACAGCCAGCCGGAACUUCUGUCUCCAAAUCAGAGGAACCACCGACUUGGCUCCAUACUAAAUCCCCCAACCGGGAGCAUCCGCGAGCAUCCAUCAGAGUUUCAGGAGUGGGAAGCACAACUACAAUAAAAGAAGAAAACACGAGGGGCUCUGGAUGGCUGUCGGAUGCACCACGGGCCAGGAUAUAGUCCCCAGUUACUCAAGCCCGGACAGGUGCUCCUGGGAGAGACCCCAAGGAGGUGAGGGCAGCCCCUGCUGGCUGAGGUGAGGACAGUUACCUUCAAUGACGCGGGCGAGCCUGAGAAAGGCAGGGGAGAGAGGAAAUUCUGCCCGGGCCUUGGAGCCUUGUCCUUCGGUGACAGACGCUGUACUUACUGUUCUUUGGGGACAGAUGGGCACCUGAUUCCUUCAACGGGCGGGUAAUAUUCCAGUGUGUGGAUAUACCACAUUUUAGUCGUGUAGUCUACAGGUGGUGGAUGUUUGGGCGCUUCCGACUGGGGCUGCCGUGAAGAAGGCCACCAGCGUUUGCCUGGACGUGCGUUCAGUUCCCUCAGGCAUUUAUCUAGGAGCCAGAUGGAGUCUCGUGUUUGACUUCUUGAGUUUCCUUAAGGGAAGGGACUACGUCUCUUCCUUCAGUAUUCCCAGCACCUGGAAAAGCCCCACGUAAAAUAAACAUGGUGUUGAAGUAAA